rnacentral:rRNA from 1 species
GAUGAACGCUGGCGGCGUGCCUAAUACAUGCAAGUCGAGCGAAAAGAUGAGGAGCUUGCUCCUCUGACGUUAGCGGCGGACGGGUGAGUAACACGUGGAUAACCUACCUAUAAGACUGGGAUAACUUCGGGAAACCGGAGCUAAUACCGGAUAAUAUAUUGAACCGCAUGGUUCAAUAGUGAAAGACGGUUUUGCUGUCACUUAUAGAUGGAUCCGCGCCGCAUUAGCUAGUUGGUACGGUAACGGCUUACCAAGGCAACGAUGCGUAGCCGACCUGAGAGGGUGAUCGGCCACAUUGGAACUGAGACACGGUCCAGACUCCUACGGGAGGCAGCAGUAGGGAAUCUUCCGCAAUGGGCGAAAGCCUGACGGAGCAACGCCGCGUGAGUGAUGAAGGUCUUCGGAUCGUAAAACUCUGUUAUUAGGGAAGAACAAAUGUGUAAGUAACUAUGCACGUCUUGACGGUACCUAAUCAGAAAGCCACGGCUAACUACGUG